rnacentral:rRNA from 1 species
GACGAACGCUGGCGGCGUGCUUAACACAUGCAAGUCGAACGGAAAGGCCCUGCUUUUGUGGGGUGCUCGAGUGGCGAACGGGUGAGUAACACGUGAGUAACCUGCCCUUGACUUUGGGAUAACUUCAGGAAACUGGGGCUAAUACCGGAUAGGAGCUCCUGCUGCAUGGUGGGGGUUGGAAAGUUUCGGCGGUUGGGGAUGGACUCGCGGCUUAUCAGCUUGUUGGUGGGGUAGUGGCUUACCAAGGCUUUGACGGGUAGCCGGCCUGAGAGGGUGACCGGCCACAUUGGGACUGAGAUACGGCCCAGACUCCUACGGGAGGCAGCAGUGGGGAAUAUUGCAAAAUGGGCGGAAGCCUGAUGCAGGCACGCCGCGGGCGGGAUGACGGCCUUCGGGGUGUAAACCGCUUUCGCCUGGGAAGAAGCGUGAGUGACGGUAAUGGGUAAAGAAGCACCGGCUAACUACGUG